CGCAGCAGUCGCGAAAACUUCACACUGGGGGCAACCCCGAUGAGGGAAUUCCUAGUGCAUGCAUUAAAUGUAUGCUUUUCUUUAGUAUAGAACGCUAAAGGAAUAAGGGCUGGGAAAGACGGGUGCCAGCCGCCGCGGUAAUACCCGCAGCCCGAGUGGUGGUCGAUAUUAUUGAGUCUAAAACGUUCGUAGCCUGUUCAGUAAAUCUUUGGGUAAAUCGGUGAGCUUAACUUACCGAAUUCCGAGGAGACUGCUGAACUUGGGACCGGGAGAGGCUAGAGGUACUUCUGGGGUAGGGGUAAAAUCCUGUAAUCCUAGAAGGACCACCGGUGGCGAAGGCGUCUAGCUAGAACGGAUCCGACGGUGAGGGACGAAGCCCUGGGGCGCAAACGGGAUUAGAUACCCCGGUAGUCCAGGGUGUAAACGUUGCAGGCUUGGUGUUGGAGGCCCUCCGAGGGCGUUCAGUGCCGGAGAGAAGUUGUUAAGCCUGUUACUUGGGGAGUACGUCCGCAAGGAUGAAACUUAAAGGAAUUGGCGGGGGAGCACCGCAACGGGAGGAGCGUGCGGUUUAAUUGGAUUCAACACCGGAAAACUCACCAGGAGCG
rnacentral:rRNA from 1 species